UAUUAUAUAUUUCAUCUAAUUCUACUGUUAAAAACUAGCGUGACUAAUAUAAUAACCAAACAGUUACACGUAGCAUACCAUGUACCUCAUUCUAACAUACAGAGACCAAUUUUUAUAGUAGCAAUGGAUGAAAUUUUUAACA
rnacentral:pre_miRNA from 1 species